rnacentral:lncRNA from 1 species
AUGGGAUCUAGAUCCAGCAGAUCGGCAGAUGUUUCACCCAGCGGCCAGGGACAAAACUCAAUAUUUGACUGUAUGGUUAAGAAAUGGGGAAUUGGGUGUAUGAAAUAUGUUGUUAAGUGGCAAAAAGUAAACGGGUUUCCCGAAAAGGGAUCGCUGAGUGUUAACCAGUUAAAGAAAAUAGAGGAACAGUUGCGAGAGGAAGAAGCAAAAUUAUUGGGAAAAGGAAAAGUUAGGACAAUAGAUCUACGUAGAGUAAGCGAUGAGAGGGAAUGCUUGAAAAUGUGGAUAGGGGAAGCAGAAAGAAGAGAAAACAAAGCAGCUCUGAAAGAAUUACCUAGAGAAGUGCGUGGAAGGGAGGCUGACGCAGAAUCUGCCUCAGCGCCUCUUCCACCUCCGUAUAACACGGAGAACAAAACACCAUUUCCCUGUUCACGCACUGUUUGUGCUUCCCCAGUACAGGCUGUUUUGCAGGGCCUGAAAGCCGAUGCGGACCUGGACUCCUUUCCCUCCCCAUCCCGCUCUGCACCACGCGCCCCACAGCCAGAGGAUGCAAGUGCCAAUCCCGCUACUGAGGAGCGACAGCCCCGUCAGGAUGAAGCGGAAAGAAUGACACUCAGAUCUGACACAGCGCUCAGCAACACACGGAGCGUGCCGCGAGCUGAAGCGACAAAAACACAGCAACGGAGAGCUGUGAGAGGAAAGAACAGAAGUAAGGCCAGCCGCCAUGGAUAUUACGUCCUGCCUUUUGCCACGGAUCAGCCUGAAUAUUGUCCCACUGAUGAUGAGCGGGACGAUACAGAGAGUGCAGACAGCGGCAAGGAGGCCGAAAACCUCCAGACCGUGCGGAGAAUGCGGAGGCGGCGACAGGCGAGAGGAGAAGACCUGCAGCUCCUGAUGGUGGAAGUGGCAGGGCCCGAGGGACCCAUUUUAGUUCACAGACCGUGGACACAAUCAGACAUCGCUGACGCCACAAGCCAUCUACCUGACCCUCUCAUGUCGGGAGCAAGGUUCGGUGAGCAGCUCCUAAUUUUCUGCCAAGAAUAUCGUCCCACGGGUCAAGAAAUUAGACGUGCAGUGGCAGGCAAGCUGAAGCCAUGCGACCUGAGGAAAAUAUCGCGUCACUUGCCUGAUCCUACGCUGAGGAUACGACACCUGACCUAUGAGCAUGGAGAAAACCGUGAAUAUUGUACUGCAGUAACCCACCUAAUGGAUAAGCUAAAGGAGGUUUUCCCGGACAAGGUGGACAUGGCAAAGAUUCAGGCUUGCAAGCAAAGAAAGGAUGAAUCCGUGGACGAUUUCAUACAUCGCAUGACAACUGUGUUUGAAGUUAAUGGUGGAAUACCCAAAGAUGACAUGACGGGCAACUCCGCCUCCACAUAUGAGCACCAUCUGUGCGGCCAUAUUUUCCGGGGACUGAGACCAGAUGUGGCAGCCGAGGUGAGGCGUUCAUAUGUGGGGGGAGAAGAUGAACCUCGGCUAAUGGAACUGCGACGCCAUGCCCGCCAUGCUCAGAAUCACCUGGACGAAAGGAAAAUCAAGAAAGAGGAAAAACAGAGCGCCGACCUCCACAACGCGGCCUUAACGCUGUACAAGACCGCAGCGAACCCGCGGAGUGGCUUUCACAGUAAAGGCAGCUGGCGCGUCCGAAGCCAGGGAGGAAGACGUGAUCGAGGACACAAUCAACAGCGACAACAGUGGGGAGUAGACCCAGACGCCUGCUUUGUCUGUGGCGAGCAUGGACACUGGCAGCGGGAUUGCCCUAACCAAGGUCGCCCCCGACCCGACCAGCAUCAUGGCCAAAGUGAACAAACGCAGAGCCAGCGGUGGGUGCAUGCGGACUGA